CUGCACUUUGAUCUUGAUAAAAGCCCCCACCUCCAAUACAAAAAUGUUAUUUACUUCCGUCACUGAAAGACAAAGGUUUUGCUCUGAAUGAGCCGUCAGAACUAAAGUGGUUCAGCAACUUUUGAGUGUUUACGUCUUUUGCCUUUGUUCAGUGAUGACGCAUCACCUCAGAGAUGCUAAACAUGUGGAUCUAUUUUGUUGAAAUGUGUUCCGUGACGCCAGUUUGUAAGGUUUGUUUUUGGAGAAAUGGUACCUGACUAUAGUUCAAGGAUUAAAACCGGUAUUAAAUCCGAUGUGACGCUGCUCCCUCUCAGCAUAUAAAACCCUGUCGAGCUCAUCCAGGCUCUUCAGUGGACUCGUACACUAAAACAGACCAUGGACGCUUUGAUUUGUGUUGCUGCUGUCGGGGCAGGAGCAGUUGUCGGCGGAGGAGCCGUGGCGGCUGCUGUGGCUGCGGCUGCGGGUUAGAGAAAGUGUGCUGGGAAGCACAAGGUUGGUGGUUCGAGUCCAGGCUGCCCCAUGUUCCAUGUCGAAGUGUCCCUGAGCAAGACACCUAACCCCUAAUUGCUCCCUGGGCAAAAAUGUGAAAAAGCCAUGGGUUUAAAGUGUAAUGUUAGUCGCUUUGGAUGAAAGCC
ensembl:lncRNA